AUGUAGUACAUGUCAUCUAGACUUGCUCCAAGUCUCUCUUUGUGGACAUCUAUAACAAUAUAGAUGUACAAUAUAUAGAUGUCCACAAAGAGAGACUUGGAGCAAGUCUAAUGUCAUCUAGCGU